UGUAUUCAAGCUGUAGGCAUUCGGCCCUGGCCCUUCAUCGACUGAAUUUGAAAGAUUUAAAAGAUUGCAAAGAGAAAGACGUUUAUCUGAUGAUUUACUUACCUUUUGAGAAAAGAAACAUUAUAAUAAUCUGAACAACUUAAGAAAAUAUACUUACCUUUUGAGUCAUGUGAUCUGCCGGUGAUUGAAUACUUGGGAGCGCCAUCAUCUUGAUCACGUGGUACAUAAGAAGCAGGACCAGGACUGGUGCGACCUACAGGGUGUGAUCAUGUUAUAAAAAUCAUGGAAGGUUUUGAUGAAACAGAACAGUGUAAUAUUAUGUUCUUGGAGGCUACUCACUAUCUGGUAUCUCAAACCGUCUCCCCAUGGAAAACGCCGGACCUUCAGAUUUUCGUUUCUCGU